rnacentral:rRNA from 1 species
UACGAAGGGGACUCGCGUUGUUCGGAAUCACUGGGCGUAAAGCGCACGUAGGCGGAUAUGUCAGUCAGGGGUGAAAUCCCGGGGCUCAACCUCGGAACUGCCUUUGAUACAGCAUAUCUUGAGUCCGAUAGAGGUGGGUGGAAUUCCUAGUGUAGAGGUGAAAUUCGUAGAUAUUAGGAAGAACACCGGUGGCGAAGGCGGCCCACUGAUCGGUACUGACGCUGAGGUGCGAAAGCGUGGGGAGCAAACAGG